GUGCCCUUUUUUUCUUUGCGUCAAUAAGGGCCGGCGACUUUUGCGCCGCAUUUACGCUGUUGCGCGCGCUCGCUUGUCUGCCUGCUCGUGGACGCUCGCGGGCGGCCCUUGGUCCUGAUGUCGGCGCGCGGCAGAUCCCGGAGAAACACAAAAACGAGAAAAAAAGACGCCCGAACAAAGGCCAUGCAAGAAUACAACUAGAGACGGACAAUCCCCGCCCGCAUCCCGCAUUC
rnacentral:lncRNA from 1 species